GAUUUUCUUUUUAUCAGAUACGGAAUAAAGAAAUUGCUGUUGAGCAAGAGAGGAGUUUCUGUGACGAGAUUGAUACACAUAGAGCAUUUGAGUGUAAUGAAGUUGUGAGUAGUAUUUUAACCAAAAGAACAUCUACCCUAACAACAGUGAAGAUUAAAGCGACCAGUUGCUGUAUGGUGAUAUUGAAAGAAAUCCAGGACCUACAAUGGUUUAUGAAGACUUCUUAGAGCUUGCCAUAUAAGUGUCAACAAUUUUAAAGAACAGAGAAGACUAUUAUUGCACUUAGUUUUGAGUUUUUGUUUUAUAUUUUACCACUAUGAUAGACUAAUGUUAAAUUCAGGAAUUGUAUUUUUCUGAUAUAUCUGUUUUGUAAUUACGUUUUACUCAUUUUUAAAUACGUUUGAGACGGGUUUUUUAUACCUUUUCCUACUUGAGUAGCAUUGACAACUAUUUUAAGUUUUUAGUAAGGUUACUUUCUUUGGGUUUUGUAUUUUAUAAUAUUAAGAUGUCAUACUUGAAUACCUUGUAGUUAUGAACUGUGUAUUUUACUUCUUGAUUCUUUGAUAUGUGUAGUAUUAUUCUCCCCCCCCCCCUCCAAUUAUAUUUAGUUUUGUAAAAUAUAUUUUCCAUAAGGCCUGUCAACAAUGGAUGCCUCUCUAGAUAAAGGUUAAAUAAUCUUGGCACACAUUAAAUAUGAAUUUCAAAAGAAAAAAAUAUGAAUGAAGACUCCAUACAAAACUACUUUGGAAAGUAUCACUCCAGUGAUUCUUCUGGUAAAAUUCAGGUAUGCUCUAAUUCUCAGUUUUCAUUGGGAACUUUCUUCAUUGCAUAGAGGAUGCUUUAUCAUCUGUUUUAUUACACCUAACAAUGCAAGUGUUAAAUGUUGGGAAUACAGAAAGACAGACAUAAUGAUUAUGAUAAGUUAACAAAUAAUUUUACUUCAAAUAUAAUGAAUAUUUAAACUGGAAUUGACUAUUCACAUGUUAUGCUCAUUGAUUGUUGACAUUAUGUGUUGAAAAACAGAAAUAAGUCAAAAGAAUUACAAGACAGAAAGUCCAAAAGUCACAAUUUAUCAAUUGAUAAUAAAUUUGUUUGCUCUAUAAUAGAAUAGAAUGUUUCUAAAAAUGUCGAUUGAAUUAGUCUUUCUAUAAAAAAAAAAUCUCUCCAAACCACAUUGUGACCUCUUUUUAUAUAUGAUUU